UAACAGGCAAGGUAGGACACUUAUAUUUUUAAGAUACAGAGAAGAUUAGCAUGGCCCCUGCACAAGGAUGACAUGCAAAUUCGUGAAGCGUUCCAUAUUUUU